rnacentral:pre_miRNA from 1 species
CUUAUAUUCCCUCCGUUCGGAAUUACUUGUCUCGAAAAUGGAUGUAUCUAGAAGUAAAAUACAUCUAGAUACAUUCAUUUAUGCGACAAGUAAUUCCGAACGGAGGGAGUAUUUA